GACGAACGCUGGCGGCGUGCUUAACACAUGCAAGUCGAACGGAAAGGCCCUGCUUUUGUGGGGUGCUCGAGUGGCGAACGGGUGAGUAACACGUGAGUAACCUGCCCUUGACUUUGGGAUAACUUCAGGAAACUGGGGCUAAUACCGGAUAGGAGCUCCUGCUGCAUGGUGGGGGUUGGAAAGUUUCGGCGGUUGGGGAUGGACUCGCGGCUUAUCAGCUUGUUGGUGGGGUAGUGGCUUACCAAGGCUUUGACGGGUAGCCGGCCUGAGAGGGUGACCGGCCACAUUGGGACUGCGGGACGGCCCAGACUCCUACGGGAGGCAGCAGUGGGGAAUAUUGCACAAUGGGCGGAAGCCUGAUGCAGCAACGCCGCGUGCGGGAUGACGGCCUUCGGGUUGUAAACCGCUUUCGCCUGUGACGAAGCGUGAGUGACGGUAAUGGGUAAAGAAGCACCGGCUAACUACGUG
rnacentral:rRNA from 1 species